CGCCCACUGGGCCCGGCUCCCCAAGAUGGCGGCGCCCAGGCCCCACGGCUGGUGUUCGAUGAGCAAAGAGACAGAAAAAGUCUGCGUUCCUGCCCCAGCACGGUAACCAGCCUUGUUUCAGAGGCGUCACCAGAGCCUGCUGAGAGAGAAAGCUAUUUUGCUGAAGAUUGUUUCUUUGACAUUCACGCUCCAACAAGGAUAGUCUCUUCUGGGCCUAAUUUGACUUCUUUAUGUGCCAAGAGGAAACUUUCCAUCUGAAGGGCAGGCAUUCAGAUAACUGAAGAGCCUUUAGGAGGGAAUUAACAGUGAAGAGAUAAAUUUAAAAGAAUAUACUGACUCACUCAUCCAUGUUUUCUGACUAAAAGGGGUGUGAGUUAAAAUUCCACGAAAUAUAACGGAGUCCAUGCAAGGACACUGGAAGCCAAGCAGUUACUCCUGGUAAAUUUGGAACUGAGGUUGUGAAAAUCAGAGAGAUGGCAGUGACUCCUGGAGACCAUGUCACAAUCUGAAUCGGAUGCCAGGAUGGCCAGCAUGACUAAAUGACGACUUCGGGAGUUGAGGGUGAGAUGGGGGACGUGCAGCCUUCAGCUGCUCAGCACGAAGGGAAGUGGGAGACCUGAUCAUGCCACAGACCUUGUGCGCGUCAUUCACCAUACAAGUGUAUGACGCUCCUGGGGCAAUGUUCUCAUAGAGAAUUCUGCUUCCAACCAAUGAGCUGGCACACAGACACAAUUACAGCUGUGACCGCUGAUGUCACAUAAUAGUAAAACAAGCAUAUUGGAGGGUUUUUUUGGUUGUUGUUUUUUUUUUAAACUAUAGUGCCCUAUUUUCAGGGCUUCUGAAUUUUUGUUUUUCUUUCAGCCUAGGCCUUACCUUGUCACCUCAGGGGA